rnacentral:tRNA from 1 species
GCAUCGGUGGUUCAGUGGUAGAAUGCUCGCCUGCCACACGGGCAGCCCGGGUUCGAUUCCCGGUCGAUGCA